GGUGUGGUUGCUGUUCCAGUACUGCCAGCAGGGAGAGCAGAACGAGCUGCUGAAGUGGCAGAAGGAACGACUGCUCGAGUAUGCCAGAGAGUUCCCUCCUGUCACAUGGCACCUUGACAGGAGGUUGAAGACAGCGCAAUUGAAGAAAGACCAGGCUCCUCUGACUGUCCCUGACCUCUCUCAGCAGGACCCCAACUACACCAGCGAUUCCGAGUUGUUGGCUGCUGCAGGCAAUGGUUCUGGGCACUUUGGUGGUGCACUCACUGCCAUUCACAAUGGCCCGUCAUCGUCAACCUUGCACAGACGCCGGCUGAGGACAAAGUGGCUCUGUCGCACGAAGCUUUCACGAACAUCAGCAAAAUAUUUUUUUUUCAUUUCUGUCUGUCUCUUGUUGUUUUUUAUUUCAGUGUCAUGCUUCACAACACCUCCAGGCGUUUCCGUGAGUUGUAAAUAAAAACAUUUGUAAAAUAUUAAAUGUGUCAUUCUCUUUAAGCUUCAAGCUUAAAGUAUGCUGAUUUUUGUUAAGUCACGCUCAGAAUCAUAUUAAAAUCACAAAAAUAUAGAGCUGGGGUAACCCUAACAAUUCUGUUCUUCCAAAGCCUGCUGCGCCCA